CUGGUACUUACCUGAAGCACCCACUGCCAUUCUCCCCUGAUUCAUUUCUGGAUCUUGGUCCAGCAGAAGCUCCCUCAGUUUCCCUCCAGGCAACUGAAGACCAACCUGAGAAGGUGUCUGUUUCCAACUCUGGCAAAGCAACAUCCACAUUUGGAACAUCAAGCUCUCAUUGCCUUCCAUGGAUGUGAGUGUGGAAUGGCCAGGCAAGCAAGACAGGCUGAAUUGAGCCCCGAUCUCACAAGAGUUCAGGUGGAGUGCAACCAGCAGAGAUCUACAGGCCAAAUCUGCCUCAUAUAGUCAUGAUUUCUUUGGCCCAUAAAGGGUUGAAAAUUGGAAUUGUCCUCCAAUAUUUUAACUGUGGAAGUGUAUCACACACAAGUCAGAUUUCUGGUCUAUGUUGAAAAACCGGAAAGUCAGACAGUAGUGGCCACAUGGUCAGAUAGCAACAACGAACUGUGUGGAGGCCCCUCUCUAGAGAGAGCUUCAGUUUUAUAGCUUCUCCAUAGUUCCUGGCAAUUCCCAUUGUCUUCCAGAACUUGAGGCCAUUUAUUACCUGAUUUGGGGCCCAUUUGAAACAUCCCUGUUACCUGCCUGGCCUCCGGCUAGAGGAGACAUGUUAUUAGAUGGCAGGUCUGCACCCAUGCCUCCAUUGGAGCCCAGGAAGGCAGGCCCCAGGGCUUAGUCCCAUCACCACAGAUGAUGCACAAGGCAAACAAUGAGGAAUAAGAGCCCUUAUGUUAGGGUUUGGAUGUGAGGUGUUCCCCAGAAGCUCACAUGUGAGACAAUGAAAGAAGGUUCAGAGGAGAUAUGAUUGGGUUCUAAGAGUCUUAACUCAAUCAGAGAUUUAAUCCCCUGAUAGGGUUUACCUGAGUGGUAACUGGAGUGUGGUAGGGUGUGGCUGGAGGAGGUGGGAAUCGGGGUGUGAUUGGGGUAUAUAUUUGUAUCUGGUGAGUAGAGCUUCUCUCUCUGCUUUCUGGUCAUGAUGUAAGCUGUUCUCUCUGCUGUACUCUCCUACCGUGAUGUUCAGCCUCACCUAGAGCCCUGAGGAAUGGAGCUACUGUUGUCUAGACAAAGACCUCUGAAACUGUGAGCCCUCAAAUAAACCUUUUCCUCCUCUACAUUUGUUCAGGUUGGGUCCAUUUAGUCACAGAGUAAAAUA
rnacentral:lncRNA from 1 species